ACAAUGAUGACUUGCAUAUUAUAGAUUUGUGAUUAAAUUAAAACUUCAAAUUUCACAAAUCUAUAAUAUGCAAGUCAUCAUUGU
rnacentral:miRNA from 1 species